AUCCCCAUUGGGUUGUCAAAUGUCACACUCUCCGUCGCCACCAUCCACCGCCAUAGCCACAGCCACCGCUGACAUUAGCCCACUGAAUAGUGAGAUGGACAUAAGUGGGUGAUUGAGUUGAUGAUCAUAUAACUAUAAGGGGACCAACUAAGCUUUUUUACGCUAUUUGCUCAAGAUAACAAUGUCAGGCUUCAGUGCAGCUUUUCUUUAUCUGCUAGUACUGGUAUCGGGCUCCUGUCUGGUGGCGGAAUCAGCAAUAGGAGUCAACUGGGGUACAUUAUCUUUCCGAAAGCUGAAGCCUUCAACGGUGGUGGAUCUGUUGAAAGACAACAAAAUAGAGAAGGUGAAGCUGUUUGAUGCAGAUCCAGAUGUGCUUAGAGCUUUAAUGGGUAGUGGUAUUCAAGUUAUGGUUGGGAUCCCAAAUGAAAUGUUGGCUGCUAUUAGCUCUUCAACUGCUGUUUCUGAUUUGUGGGUUCGCCAGAAUGUUUCCAGAUAUGUGGUUAAGGAUGGCGUUGAUAUCAGGUAUGUAGCUGUAGGAAAUGAACCAUUCCUUUCUAGUUAUUCUGGUCAAUUUCAAUCCUAUGUUGUCCCUGCCCUACAAAACUUACAGCAGUCUUUGGCUAAAGCAAAUCUUUCUGGCUAUGUGAAGCUAGUGGUGCCGUGCAAUGCUGAUGCCUAUGAAUCCUCCCUUCCUUCUCAGGGGGCAUUCCGAUCUGAUUUAACAGAAAUUAUGACUCAACUUGUUUCCUUCCUCAACUCAAAUGGCUCUCCUUUUGUUGUCAAUAUUUACCCUUUUCUUAGCCUCUAUGGGAGCACGGAUUUUCCGCAAGAUUAUGCAUUCUUUGAAGGGACUGCCCAUUCUGUUACAGAUGGGCCUAAUGUUUACUACAAUGCGUUUGAUGGGAAUUUUGAUACUUUAGUUUCCGCCCUCAACAAACUUGGAUAUGGUCAGAUGCCUAUAGUUAUUGGGGAGGUGGGUUGGCCAACCGAUGGAGCCAUCAGUGCUAACCUCACUGCUGCAAGAGUUUUCAACCAGGGACUCAUAGAUCAUGUUUUAAGUAAGCAAGGAACCCCACUUAGGCCAGGUGCACCCCCCAUGGAUAUCUAUCUUUUCAGUCUACUUGAUGAAGGAGCAAAGAGCACACUUCCUGGAAAUUUUGAAAGGCACUGGGGGGUUUUUUCCUUUGAUGGCCAGGCAAAAUAUCCAUUGAACCUUGGUUUGGGCAACAAGUUAUUGAAGAAUGCCAAGAAUGUCGAGUAUCUCCCAUCUAGGUGGUGUGUGGCUGAUCCAACUAAAGAUCUGUCUGGUGUGACCAACCACAUGAGAAUUGCUUGUAAUUUUGCAGAUUGUACAACACUCAACUAUGGAGGAUCAUGCAAUGGAAUUGGGGCAAAAGGAAAUAUCUCUUUUGCUUUCAACAGUUACUACCAGCUUCAAGAUCAAAAUGCACAAAGCUGUGAUUUUGAUGGUCUGGGUAUGGUUACAUUCCUAGAUCCAUCAGUUGGCGAUUGCAGGUUUCUUGUUGGUGUCACUGAUACUGGUUCUUCAGGUUUUGGAACGGGUCCUAGGUGGAUUAUCAUUUGGAUUUUGAUAAUUGGGGGGAUGUGGGUCUUUCUAAUAUGAAAAAGAAGUUUCCUUGAGUGGGUUUUUCAAGUUUCCUUGAGUGGGUUUUUCCAUGUCCCUCUUUAGAAACUACUGAACAUAGCAGGGAAGAUUUUAUUUGGUGGGCUACAUGAGAACUCCAUAGUUUCUUAGCAACAAUUAUCCCCGCAGCACACCUUGCCACAACGGAGGUUUGGAACCCUCCCGACGAAAAAGCAGCAACGACAACCUUCAAAAUAACAAGCCACUAGUACUCUGUAAGUAAUAAAGAUGCAAAACUAAAUGAACCCAGAAGCCAUAAAAUGGCCUUUACCUUGGGGAUGAACCAUAUGCUCAAAAGUCUGCAGGCGAGGGCCUGCUGUUGCAUUUGCACACAUGACAAUGGAUGCCACAACUAGAAGCCAUGUCAAAGCAAUCACCAAGGUUGCUUUCUUCACCAUUUCUCUGUCUGGACAAACUUUGAGAAUGGAAGCGAAGGGAUGACAACCCUGUCGGAGCUAUCCUACUUAUACUUGAGUCUGAGAUUGGCAGUGAUAAGCAAGCGUGAUGACUUGAAAUUCCUACACCUCAGAGUAUGGGCGUUCAUGAUCAACUUCUCGAGGCCAACUUGCUCUUUAUGUUGGCAUGUACUGCUAGUUUGUAGCAACUACAGCUGCCAUUUCUGACUUGGUUUAUCCAUUUUCAAGCCUAUCAUUAGAGUCACCUACCAACUUCAGGAUUUAAUUCUCUAGUAAUUCUAUAAGAGAAUUCAUGUGUCGGAAGGUUUAAGAAUCUUAAUCUUGUUUUUAAUGAUCUUUUACAGAGAGAAUUUAAUAUGGGUCUCUCCUUACAAGACAAAAUACUUCUGUUUUUAUUGAACAAGUUGGGCAUCAUCCCUUUGAAUGUGACACUAAACUGCAAGUUUUUUUUGUUUUA